UGGGCAUAGCGCGACACGUCUCCCAGAGAGGCUGGAGGGGGAGGGGAACAGGGGGAGGGAAUGGGAAAAUGUCAGAUUAUACAACGGUUGAAUUAUAUCACUUGCAGUGUGUGGACUAGGCUGUAUAGUCCGAUUUUAUUGUAGCUUUGUGAGAUUUGAUGAGCACAAUCAAAUACUAAUUUAUUUAUUAAUCAAAUCUAAUUGUAACUAAAGAUGAGAAAAAUCAUGAGACCUAAUUUGAUAAUCUGUAAACUGAACACUUUUUUUUGUUGGAUAAUUGUCAUAGUAGACGUAUGGAAGUCAAGCAAGCAGGAAGGCAGUAAACUAUUACAGGUCUACGACAACACAACGAGUUACCAACCCUGCCCUGCCCGCAUCCGACGAAGCCAAAUUUUCCUGGAGUUCCCGCAAUUUGUCAUCGGAGCGAGCGGCCAAAACAAGCACCGACCUCGGUUUAAGUAACAGAGAAAUCUCUUUCGCUAUGGUUCGGCCAAAUCCUUUGGACGCCCCGGUGAUGAUGCACAGCGCUCUCCCUAGGUCCUUCGCGUCUGGUAUAAUUACGUUGCAGAUACCAUUGGCCUGCAUUUUGGUGAAAUGGGAGCGGAGAUGUACAGCUUCUACUUAUAAAGGCUGGCAGAGUUUUGUAAAGAACCGUUUUAAAAUAAUUGUUCAAAUCGAUUAGAUUGAGGAACGGAUAUGGAUGCCAAAAAUAAACAUGACGAAUGAGCACUUCUUUUAUCCCGCCCACUUUAGGAUGUUCAAGCAAAUUCGCGAUUUAGUUUGUAAAAUGAAUAAGCAAAUGUUUUAUUAUAUGCCUACAUGUGCGCUGUGCUGGCCAAAAUGUGUUCUUAUCAAUGAUGUAUCUUAUUGUAGCGAUAUCCGCGCUUAUAAACUGGGGUCGCUACAUUAUUUAAGCAAAUGAAAAAUGAAAAUAUAAGAUAAGACAACCCUCAGUAGCCACUUGAGCCAUAGACUCCAAAUAAGUGUCAUAAUGUUGGAAAAAUUGCCCACAACAUUGCACAGGUCUUAUUUUCACGAUUUGGACAUUAAUUCGCUUUUCAAAGCUAAUAAACAUGUGGAAAUGUGAGCCGCAUUUUGUAGUCCUAGUUGAAUUCGUUAGGGAGCGUAAACAAAGUACACACUUUUUUACAUUCAAAUUUCAAUAGUUCCUUGGUCAUGUGACCUAGUGACUUCAAACAAGGUUCAGAAUGUCCACUGACUACCCUUCUAUAUUGCACACCCUUUCGUUUGUUCAUUUUUAUCUUUUUUCAUUUUAUGUUUUACACACAUUUUUCAAAAUUUAGAAUUUCAAUAGCUCCAUGGUCAUGUGACCUAAUGUCCGCUGACUACCCUUCUAUAUUGCACACUCUUGUUUGUGUACUGUAAAAUCACGCGGUGUAACGUACAUUUUUCAUAGUUUCACAUUUGCAAUAGCUCCUUGGUCAUGUCAAUUACGCUCCUAAGCAUGCAGUGGAUAUACACCCAUAUUGCAUAACCUCUAGUCAUGUAUCUUCUAUAUUGUUGUACAUUAAUAUUAGUUUGACAAUUACGGGGUUCAGUCCAGUGUUGUGUUUACCCUUUUCUUUAAUAUUUAUCUAUAAUAAUUGGCAGUUCUAAGUACUUAUUUUCCCUGUUUUUUAUUUUUCCACAGUAUUUAACAGUGGUACACAAUAGGAGAGAGACAAAUAAUAUCUCCUUUCGUUGGAAAAGUAUGAGAGUCAUGCUAUUAAUUGUCCAAAGCAGGGAUGGAGAGUGAGCUGGUGAGGUAGGCUGCAGUGGGUUUGCUGGUCAAUACAUAUACUGAACAUGUAACCACAGUAAUGGUGGCCAGUAAAUCAAUGAAUAAAACAUUUUAUAUUGAAAAAUUUAACUGAAAUUGUAGACCUUUAAUCUUUUAAAACAUGUCAGACACUUAAAUUCAAAUAAGUAUGAAACAUUUCCGUGUUAACUUUCUCUUUAUCCCUGGUUGAUGGACAUUUCAGAGCCUCUUCAGUGUGGAUGGGGUAUAGCAUACAUUUUCAACAACAAAGACUGCACUUCUAGUUUGUGUUCUUUACUCUGUUGAACUCUUUUGUCUUCAUUCCUAGGCACAGCACAUGGAACCACCGUUGGCAUGCAAAACAUUCAAUCUAAAACAAAACAAAGCGUAACACGUUAUAAAUAAUAUCAAAUAUCAAUGCUGUAUGACGAAUUAGCCAUCCAUUGUGAUAUGUCAUAAAUUGUCUUACAUGCCGUCACUGUUGUCAAAAUAUUAUAAACAUGUUAAAUAAAGUUACUAACCCAGUCAGUCUUAGGGCCACAUCUAGGUCCUUUAUCAGUGGCACACAUGAAGCAGUUGUUGGCUUUGUUGAACUCUGAAAUCAUAGGCAUGAAAUGAACAUAUGGCUGUCCCACACAACAACGUAAAAAUAAAGAAUUUACAUUUA